rnacentral:lncRNA from 1 species
AGAAGAAUCCGGAAACAAAGCCUCGGGGAAGAAACCACAGACCUCCUUUCUGGAAACAUCUGGGUCGGGACUCCCCACCGAGGGGUCAUAGACCCUCACUUCCAGGGUGUGCCCUGACCUCAGCAUGACUGGGGCUGGGGCAUAUCCUGGAGCCCCAGAUAGGAACCCAACCAGAGUGACCGCGGCAAGCAGGGCAGUGGGUCCCAUGGAAAACUCCGCCUCCGCUUCCCGUUGCUUGGCCACCUGUCCUCAAUGCCGGGCACCCCACUAGGCCUCCGGGCUGGGCAACAACGGCCAGAGGGAUGGUCACUAAACCCGUUUCCUCGCUCUGGACACAUGGCUAAGCAACAUUUUCACCCCCUCGCUGCAGGCGGGGGCCACAGGACUGGCUCCAGUCAGCGCAAUGUAGGUCGAGGUGACGUCACCUCUGUGCCAUCCUCUGCUCAUCACUAGCAGUGGGGAGGCCGAGGCUCCGGGAAACCGGACCCCGAGUCACCUUGUGGAAGACCCACUGAGCACCCCGUUGGACCCGAUUGAAGGAGAAUGCGCUUCGGCUGCAUCACGCCACUGAAGACGCAGGGUUACUUGUGACAGCCGCUGACCUCACCCACCCUGCCCAGCACACCGCACCUCGACAAGGCCAAGGCCAAGAAUUGACCUCCUGGAGCUCAUCACGUUCUCAGCGUGAGACUGGAAGCGGAAGCCGAGAGGCAGGAGGUGAAAAUGCCUGGUGCAGAGCGGCUGCUCCAAAGUGGAACCCUGGCAGACGAAAGGACACACAAAACGUGGUCGGACCACUCCAUGGACUAUUCCUCGGCGAGAGAGGAAUGAGGCACUGACACCCCCUGCAACGCAGUAGACCCUGACGACGCUGCUGAGUGAAAGCAGCCAGACACCAAAGGCCGCAGUGUGGGAGCCCCCCAGCCUGUGAGCCAGAGGCUGAACCAGUUGAGGGACAAAGACCAGCCCGGCCUGGGUUCCUCAUCGGGCGACUGCCCCAGGACCUUGCCAUGUCCUUCACCAGCAAAGGGUGGGUGCCUCCUGCAGAUGCUGACAGCUCCACCCUCCCCACCUCCAAGAUUUGCUGGGGCUGAAAUGCCCCCCACCCCCAGAUUCCAAUGACCCAGCACAAAUGCCGCCUCUCCCAGGAAGCCUGCCUGGACCCCAGGGAAGAAAACAUCCCACUCGCUGAUCAUACGAACUCGUCUGACUUUAAACUUCCCAAGAGCUGCCCACGAUGACUGUUGCAGCUCCGACCGGCCCACUCUUAAUUUAUUUUCACAGUCCCCAGUCCUCCGGGCCAGCCGCACUACAAUAACCUAUUGUUAACAUGGAAGUCUCCCCAUGUGGGAACGGACAUUUGGAAGACCAUCCUUUGAACGGACACCAGGCUCACCAAGUCCUUGAUUCAGUAACACGGACUGCGGCAGCAAUUUGAGGGGAGAUGAGGCACCAGCCGGGCACAAAGACACAGACACCCCCUUUUUAUUUGUCACAGCUGAGUUGUCAUACAUUCCCUCGAAUAAAUGUUCCCAUCUG